GAUGAACGCUGGCGGCGUGCCUAAUACAUGCAAGUCGAGCGAACAGACGAGGAGCUUGCUCCUCUGACGUUAGCGGCGGACGGGUGAGUAACACGUGGAUAACCUACCUAUAAGACUGGGAUAACUUCGGGAAACCGGAGCUAAUACCGGAUAAUAUAUUGAACCGCAUGGUUCAAUAGUGAAAUACGGUUUUUCUGUCACUUAUAGAUGGAUCCGCGCCGCAUUAGCUAGUUGGUAAGGUAACGGCUUACCAAGGCAACGAUGCGUAGCCGACCUGAGAGGGUGAUCGGCCACACUGGAACUGAGACACGGUCCAGACUCCUACGGGAGGCAGCAGUAGGGAAUCUUCCGCAAUGGGCGAAAGCCUGACGGAGCAACGCCGCGUGAGUGAUGAAGGUGUUCGGAUCGUAAAACUCUGUUAUUAGGGAAGAACAAAUGUGUAAGUAACUAUGCACGUCUUGACGGUACCUAAUCAGAAAGCCACGGCUAACUACGUG
rnacentral:rRNA from 1 species